rnacentral:rRNA from 1 species
UGAACGCUGGCGGUAUGCUUAACACAUGCAAGUCGAACGGAAACGAUACUAGCUUGCUAGUAGGCGUCGAGUGGCGGACGGGUGAGUAACGCGUAGGAAUCUGCCUGAUAGUGGGGGAUAGCCCGAAGAAAUUCGGAUUAAUACCGCAUAAUCUAUUCGUAGUAAAGUGGGGGACUUUCGAGCCUCACGCUAUCAGAUGAGCCUGCGUAAGAUUAGCUUGUUGGUAGGGUAAAAGCCUACCAAGGCGACGAUCUUUAGCUGGUCUGAGAGGAUGAUCAGCCACAUCGGGACUGAGACACGGUCCGAACUCCUACGGGAGGCAGCAGUGGGGAAUAUUGGACAAUGGGGGCAACCCUGAUCCAGCAAUACCGCGUGUGUGAAGAAGGCCUGAGGGUUGUAAAGCACUUUCAAUUGUGAAGAAAAGUUAGCGGUUAAUAACCGUUAGCCUUGACGUUAACUUUAGAAGAAGCACCGGCUAACUCCGUGCCAGCAGCCGCGGUAAUACGGAGGGUGCAAGCGUUAAUCGGAAUUACUGGGCGUAAAGCGUGCGUAGGCGGUUUAUUAAGUCAGAUGUGAAAGCCCCGGGCUUAACCUGGGAACUGCAUUUGAAACUGGUCAACUAGAGUAUGGUAGAGGAAAGUGGAAUUUCUGGUGUAGCGGUGAAAUGCGUAGAUAUCAGAAGGAACAUCAAUGGCGAAGGCAGCUUUCUGGACCAAUACUGACGCUGAGGUACGAAAGCGUGGGUAGCAAACAGGAUUAGAUACCCUGGUAGUCCACGCCGUAAACGAUGAUAACUAGCCGUUGGGGGGAUUUACCCUUUAGUGGCGAAGCUAACGCGUUAAGUUAUCCGCCUGGGGAGUACGGCCGCAAGGUUAAAACUCAAAGGAAUUGACGGGGACCCGCACAAGCGGUGGAGCAUGUGGUUUAAUUCGAUGCAACGCGAAGAACCUUACCUGGUCUUGACAUCCUGCGAACUUUCUAGAAAUAGAUUGGUGCCUUCGGGAACGCAGUGACAGGUGCUGCAUGGCUGUCGUCAGCUCGUGUCGUGAGAUGUUGGGUUAAGUCCCGUAACGAGCGCAACCCCUAUCCUUAUUUGCCAGCACAUCAUGGUGGGAACUAUAAGGAGACUGCCGGUGAUAAACCGGAGGAAGGCGGGGACGACGUCAAGUCAUCAUGGCCCUUACGACCAGGGCUACACACGUGCUACAAUGGGAAGGACAAAGAGCCGCGAAGCCGCGAGGUGUAGCUAAUCUCAUAAACCUUUUCGUAGUCCGGAUUGGAGUCUGCAACUCGACUCCAUGAAGUCGGAAUCGCUAGUAAUCGUAGAUCAGAAUGCUACGGUGAAUACGUUCCCGGGUCUUGUACUCACCGC